AAUUUUCCUGCUGGGCAGCGCGUUACAGAGUAUAGUGGUUUGCAGCUUAUCUAGGCCAAAUUUUGAAUUCUGGUAAACAGGAUGUGCGCGCUUACUCCGUGCCGAUUUGAAUGAGAAGACUUUGCACCAUAAAACAACAAUAAUAACCUCGGGAUUUAUUAACUUUGAAUGCAUGGUGUUGAUUGCAUCAUCCGUAUUUUCAAAUUCCCCCAUUCAAAAGACCCGCCUUUGGUGAAGGCAAAGGUGUUGUGCUAUUCGUUCCGAGGGGCGGAUUCCUUAUCAGCCUUUUCAGUGUAUGUGAUUCUAACUAAGUCU